rnacentral:rRNA from 1 species
ACGAACGCUGGCGGCAUGCCUAACACAUGCAAGUCGAACGCCCCGCAAGGGGAGUGGCGCACGGGUGAGUAACGCGUGGGAACCUGCCCAGCGGUGUGGAAUAACUCCGGGAAACUGGAGCUAAUACCGCAUACGCCCUACGGGGGAAAGAUUUAUCGCCGUUGGAGGGGCCCGCGUCGGAUUAGCUAGUUGGUGGGGUAAUGGCCUACCAAGGCGACGAUCCGUAGCUGGUCUGAGAGGACGACCAGCCACACUGGGACUGAGACACGGCCCAGACUCCUACGGGAGGCAGCAGUGGGGAAUAUUGGACAAUGGGGGCAACCCUGAUCCAGCAAUGCCGCGUGAGUGAUGAAGGCCUUAGGGUUGUAAAGCUCUUUCGGCGGGGACGAUGAUGACGGUACCCGCAGAAGAAGCCCCGGCUAACUUCGU